rnacentral:rRNA from 1 species
UGGGGAAUUUUCCACAAUGGACGCAAGUCUGAUGGAGCAACGCCGCGUGAGUGAAGAAGGUUUUCGGACCGUAAAGCUCUGUUGUUGGUGAAGAAGGAUAGAGGUAGUAACUGGCCUUUAUUUGACGGUAAUCAACCAGAAAGUCACGGCUAACUACGUGCCAGCAGCCGCGGUAAUACGUAGGUGGCAAGCGUUGUCCGGAUUUAUUGGGCGUAAAGCGAGCGCAGGCGGAAGAAUAAGUCUGAUGUGAAAGCCCUCGGCUUAACCGAGGAAUUGCAUCGGAAACUGUUUUUCUUGAGUGCAGGAGAGGAGAGUAGAACUCCAUGUGUAGCGGUGGAAUGCGUAGAUAUAUGGAAGAAUACCAGUGGCGAAGGCGGCUCUCUGGUCUGCAACUGACGCUGAGGCUCGAAAGCAUGGGUAGCGAACAGGAUUAGAUACCCUGGUAGUCCAUGCCGUAAACGAUGAGUGCUAAGUGUUGGGAGGCUUCCGCCUCUCAGUGCUGCAGCUAACGCAUUAAGCACUCCGCCUGGGGGAGUACGACCGCAAGGUUGAAAC